UCAUCUUUCACACCCAGCCUGAAGUGUAUGGUGCAGGUUGGGACACUGGGUCGCUGCUCCUGCUCCUGUCCCUGGUUGUCCUGGUUCCCCCGCCAUUGUCUUCAGGGCCUGAAGAUCCACCUGCCCUGGAGGCUGUGGAAAGAGCUGUGAGGCGCCCGUGCCCAGCCCGGAGGCGGUUCUUCCAGCCCCUGUAUGAGGGCCACAGAGGAGACUUCAAGAAGUGGGUGGGAACCCCCUUCACUGCCUCCAGUCUGCAGCUGGCACCCUGGGGCCCAGCAGCGCCGUCCAUCCUGGAGGUGCCUGACUGCCAGCCGUCCUGGAACCUGGCCAAGGAGCUGGAGGCCCUCGGCCUGCCGGGGCCCGCAGACCUGCUGGAGUCCGACGGGGCACCUGAGCCCAGGUCCUCCUCCGAGGAUGGCAGCCCUCGAGGCUCAGACUACGGCGAGGAGAAGGACCGGCCGUACGGCCUGGUGUCCCUCGACACUGUGACGGUGGUGGACGCGGAGGACGUGUGCGCCUGGCCUUGCUGUGGGGGAUGAUGGCUACCCGGCCCUGGACCUGGACACUGGGCUGGAGCCACGGCCCCAGCCCGGGGACCUGCUCCCUCGAUUCGGGGCCACAGUCCUCUCCUGCGGCUGCGUCUCAGCCAGGGGGCCCCGGGCUGGGGCGGGGCUCUGGGCAGCCGGCUGGACAGGCCGAAGCUGUCCCCUACGGGGGGAGGAGGGCUGGGCCUCGGAGCCACCCUGGGCCGGGCCGUCAGCAGGCAGCGUCUCUGGGAGCGAGGCGGGCUCGCCCCCCGCUGGGCUGGACAUGGACACAUUCGACAGCGGUUUUGCGGGCUCCGACUGCGGCAGCCCGGUGGAGUGUGACACAGGGCCCCCCCGGAGCUACCUCCGCCAGUGGGUGAUCUCGGAGCCCGUGCCUGAGGGCACCGAGCCCCAGGCCAGCUAGGGAGACGGGGCCACCUGGUGGGGACAGGAAGGGUCCGGUGUGGGCCUCUGCUUCCAGUGCUCACACCACAGAGUGCAUGUGUGGGGGCUGGGGUGCAAUACGCCCAUGGUCACUGCGAGUGGCCCCCACCCCCGUGUUGGCUCCUGUGCAGCGGGGGAGCCCCAGAUGCACGGUUCGGCCUCCUUCUCCCAAGGGGCCGGCACUGUGUGGGACCGAUGUCAGCCCAGCCCGGCGCCCCCAGAAGCCGCAGCGAUCCAGGCCACUCCCCACCUGCCAGGCAGGGGAAGGGGCAGAGCGAGGCCGCAGGGACCCAGGGGGUGGGACACUGCGAAGGGAGGACGCAGGUCGGCCGUGCAGCCUGGGCAGCAGCUUCCGGCCCUCUGUGGCCGGCAGGGGAGGGGCAGCACUGCAGCCUGACUCCACAGCCAGUGGGGCAGCCCCAACGGGCACACGGGGCUUUCCGGCUGGAAACCACUCGGCCUGAGCUCAGAAACAGCCCUUUCAUCAAGAUUUCUUUUCCUGGCUUCUGCUGCCCAUUUUAAAAAAUCCCUCUGACGUACCCAAGAACUAUUCAUCUAGCACCAGUUGGCAUUGUGCCAGGCUGCCCAGAGCCGCUAGCGCCGAGGGGCCUCCCCUGUGGGCCGCAGUGUGGGGUGGGCACACAGCCCGGCAGGCCUGGCCACUGCACCCUGCUCUCCCCUCGCCUGUUCAGUCCUCUGCCCCCUUCUCCCUCUGGAGCUGGGGAAGCCGAGCCGCUGCCAGUGUUGAAAUGUGAAUUAAGAAGCCAGUUCUCGGCACGCGCUGCCUGUAGCUUUAGUGUGGAGCUGCCUGUGGCUGCCGGCCGGCGUGGCACAAGCUCACCGCCCAAGAAGGACUGCGGUCCAGGAGGAGGACUGCGGUCCCGGAGGACGCCCCCUAGAGGUAGCGAAGCCUUUUCAGGACCAGGCUGGUCAAGGCCGGCGUGCGGUCCAGUUCCGGAGGCGCGGGAACCUAGGCAGCUUGUGCUGCCCGCCAGCGGCUUCCCGAGGAGAAAGCAGCACAGUGCGUCUGCUUUGGGAGCGGCUGGGGAGGUCCCCGGGGCUGGGAGGUUCUAGAACUCCAGGCUGUGGGCUGGGAUGCGGGGUGCGGGGAGACACAGCUCCUGCACAUGCAGGCUGCCCCUCCUCCUCAGGCCCCGGAGACAGCGGGGUGCAGACGUGCGGUGGCUUCACACCUCUUGGGAGUAACAGCUGCGGGCCUGAGACGCUGGCUCCCAGGGACCAGCUCAGCGCUGCAGCUCACGGGGCGUGGGCAGGGAGGUCACGCUCCUCCCCGAUGCUCCUGAGGCGGAUGCCGCUCACUCCCUUGCUCCGGAGACGGAGCCACCCCCUGGUGGUGGAUGCAUGGGUGAGGAAGGACAGGCAGGGCCUGGAAGGGGGACAGGUUGGACAGAGACAGAGACCUAGGUGCUGGAAACAAAGCCAGAUCAAGCAUGAGCCCCUCCCGGGCAGUGACUGUUUGCUCAUUGCUUUGUGCCCCGUCUGGCACACAAUAGGCACUCAAUAAAGCCUGAUCUGCAGUGUCUGCUCAUUUCCCUGGUGUAAAUACCUCUACCGUGUCUCAGGCUCCUAACCUGAUGCUAGUGAUGCAGUGAACUGUCCCGCCCGGAGUGCCCGGAUGGCCCAGAGCUGACCAGAGCGUUCCAACCUCCUGCCCAGGACAACUCUGGGAUGAACAAGACCCAAGCUGCUUCCUGCUCUCUUGCUGCUGGGAUUGCUGAGCUGUAG
rnacentral:lncRNA from 1 species